GGUGGGCUUGACUAUUUGGGGAACCCAAACCUUGUCCAUGCCCAAAGCAUCUUGGCAGUGCUGGGCUUCCAAGUAGUUCUGAUGGGCCUUGUUGAAGGGUUCCGCAUCAAUGGGCUUGAUGGAGUAGGAGAGGGCAACAACCUUUACCCUGGGGGCCAGUACUUUGACCCACUGGGCCUGGCUGAUGACCCAGUAAAUUUUGCUGAGCUAAAAGUGAAGGAGAUAAAGAAUGGAAGGUUGGCCAUGUUCUCUAUGUUUGGGUUUUUUGUUCAAGCCAUUGUAACUGGCAAAGGCCCAUUGGAGAACCUGUUGGACCACCUUGACAACCCUGUGGCUAACAAUGCUUGGGUCUUUGCCACCAAGUUUGCCCCUGGAUCUUAAAUCUCCCUAUUAUCCACCCCUUAUCAUUAUUCUCAUUUAUAUGUAGAUUAUCAUCAUAAAUAAUAAUUGUUGGAUUAGUGUACUUUUUAAGGACUAAGCCUCUUUUUCCAAUGAGAAAGGUGUUUUU
rnacentral:lncRNA from 1 species